GUCCCUUCCAACUCUACAAUUCUAUGAUUUAUCUAAUGCAUUAGAUAAAUCAUAGAAUUGUAGAGUUGAAAGGGAC